rnacentral:lncRNA from 1 species
AAUUACUUAGGUUUAAAAAUAAGCUCAACUGGACACCUUAAUGAGGCAGUGAAUGAACUGAGAGAGAAAGCACGCAGGGCAUUCUACGCCAUUAAAAAGCAAAUUCAAAUUGAAAUACCUAUUAAAAUUUGGCUAAAACUAAUUGAAUAUGUCAUUGAACCAAUUGCACUUUAUGACAGCGAGGUGUGGGGUCCACUUGCAAAACAAGAUUUCAUCAAAUGGGACAAACACCCCAUUGAAACCCUACAUGCAGAGUUCUGUAAGAUUCUCCUACGUGUCCAGAGGAAAACUACAAACAAUGCAUGCAGGGCAGAAUUAGGCCAAUAUCCACUAAUAAUAAAAACUCAAAAAAGAGCAAUUAAGUUUUGGAAACAUCUAAAAUACAGUGAACCCCUCUCAUAUCAUUACCAAGCCCUGCAAUGCCAAGAGCUGAGCAAAGAAAAGAGUCCCCUCAUCCAGCUGGUCCUGGGGCUGAGUUCACAAACCUGUUCUACUAACACACUGAAGCCUCAGGACCAGAACAUCCAAUCAAUCAGAAUAAACCAAAUUACAACACAGUCAAAACAAAACUACAUUGCUUAUUGGGAAACACAAGCACAAACACAAAGCAAAAUGCAGUGCUAUCUGGCCCUAAAUCGACAGUACACUAUGGCUAAAUAUUUGACCAUGGUUACUGAUCAAAACCUUAGAAAAACCUUGACAAAGUACAGGCUCAGUGAGCACAGCCUUGCCAUUGAGAAGGGUAGACACAGGAAAACCUGGCUCCCUGUAGAGGAAAGGCUGUGCAACCACUGCACAACAGCAGAACCUGAGACGGAGCUGCAUUUCCUGACAAAAUGUCAAAAAUAUAAAACAAUUAGAGAGUGUCAUUUCCCCAAAUUUGAAAUCCUUAUUCAAGGUUUUAAAGACCUCUCUGAUGAGGAUAGGCUACCCAUCCUGUUGGGGGAGGACGCAGAGAGCUGUGGGUUGGCAGCGCACUACAUUGCUGCCUGCCAUAAGUUGAGGGACAGUGUCUGA